rnacentral:rRNA from 1 species
AGGAUGAACGCUGGCGGCGUGCCUAAUACAUGCAAGUCGAGCGGUAAGGCUCCUUCGGGAGUACACGAGCGGCGGACGGCUGAGUAACACGUAGGAACGUACCCCAAACUGAGGGAUAAGCACCAGAAAUGGUGUCUAAUACCGCAUGUGGUCUUCGGAUUAAAGCUUCGGCGGUUUGGGAACGGCCUGCGCAUGAUUAGCUUGUUGGUGAGGUAAUUGCUCACCAAGGCGACGAUCAUUAGCUGGUCUGAGAGGAUGAUCAGCCAGACUGGGACUGAGAACGGCCCAGACUCCUACGGGAGCAGCAGUAGGGAAUUUUCCACAAUGGGCGAAAGCCUGAUGGAGCAACGCCGCGUGCAGGACGAAGGCCUUCGGGUUGUAAACUGCUUUUAUAUGUGACGAUUAUGACGGUAGCAUAUGAAUAAGGAUCGGCUAACUCCGUGCCAGCAGCCGC